CUGAACCCAAACCAAACGCACCUCCUACAUCUAAGGAUCAGGCUUCCAUCCUAGUAGUCCAACGUCUAUCAUGUAUCUCUUCUCUUCCACAAUUCAGCUCAACGCGAGUUUCCUUCGCGUUGGUAGUGACUCGUAUCCACGUCACUCUUCGCUCCCAUGUCCAAAGAAUGGAACAAACUUUUCUCAUCCACGUUGGAUCCCAGCCACACCCAUUCACAUUUCCCAGCCAUUUACACAUCAUCCCACACGGCCGUCCACAUUCAAGGAACAGAGCCAGCGUCCAAGCCAAUCCCUUCCGCAUCCAAAGCAUCUCCCAAGUAUUCUUCGACUUCAUCCUCCCAGCAUCCUUAUCUUCUCUCGCGUCCGUCUCUCCCAAACAACUGGAUUUUCUUCAGCCGAAUUCCCAUCUAUUGUCCUCCUCCCCUUCGUCCACAUCAGAAGGAAUCCCUCAACCAGCUGAGAUCCUCCCAGUUUGCAUCCUUAUCUCUUGCUUCGGAUAAGUCCCAAACUUCAUCCUCAUCCCCUGUGUCCAGCUAACAGAGCACUCCUCGUUUCUUCCUCCCGUUCGGAAUUGACUCCAUCCACGGAUGAGUUCACCUCCCCUGUUCCGCUCAUCCCUUCCCUUCCGGAUGAGAACCAGCAACCAUACAACAUACGGAUUAGCUCCAUCUCCCAAACAUUCGUAGCUAAUCCCGUUGGCAAAUCAAGCUCCUUCAUUCUGUUUUCCUCCCAGCAUCUGCAACAAUCCGGUCUUCAUCUCAGCCGUGAACAGCAUCCCAGCAAAUUUAGGAAUAUCCGAGCUGCCGAAUCCCAUGGAUCAUCUCCCCUGUUCCCAACCGAAUCGAGUUCAUCUCAUCUCCCAGCUUCAUCUCUUCCGAAUUCCUUUGUGUCCGUCCCAGCUACAUCCAUUCGCACCAGCCGGUAACCGCUCCAAAUCCCAGCUCUGCUUCAACCGUCCGCGCUUCACGGGCCACAGCAGCCGUGGAUCAACUUCCAUGGAUCAGCACCCCAUCUCCUCCCGUCGACUCAACUCUAUCCCAUGAACAGCAUCUGGAUAAGCUUCCAGCUCCCCUGUUACGCAUAGCAUCCAUCAACAAAUCCUAGCGUCCAUAAUCUUCCCAGCUUGCAUCUCAAUAGUCCCCGCGAUCAGCUCUCGAAUGCAUUCCGUGGUUCAACUUCAUCCGUCCAGCCAUCGGGACCAAAGCCAGCUCUUCUCAACCGUGGAACCAUCUUCCAUCAUCUGCGGAGGAGAUCAAGCCUCCACAGCCUUAUCUUCCCAUCCAUUUGAAAAAACAGAGGAGGAGAGAGGGAGAGCUUGCUGCUUAUAAAAAGGGGAGUCGACGUGAUUGAGGGGCAUUCCUUCUCUUCCCCACCGGGCUGAUCCCAUCAUCUAUUCGGAGGGAGGAAGCCGGCUCAUCCCAUCUGUUUGGAAGGGGGGAAUACCACAGAAAUAAAAAAAAGCAGAGGAGGGAGAAUAGUUUGGGCAUUUCGGGAAUAACUUUCCAUAUAAAAAAAUGAAGUGCUGAGAGGGAGUUUCUUCGAUGGAAGUCGCCGGAGGAAGAAAGAAAGAAGAGCUGGUCGCGAUGGAAGGCUUCUCCACUGCUGCGGCUGUUCAAUUCUCCAUGCAGGGCUGAUCUCUCCUCUAGGGCCGGAUGCAGCCCUAACAAAGGGACACGGGUUUUAUGAAUCGAAAAGGAAGACAGGGACAAUCAAAAAAGAAAUUGCUGGAGAAGGAAUGCUGUAGAGGUUUGCCUAAAAAUAAAAUAAAAAUUGCUGGAAAAAUUCCCUUUGUCUAAUGUGUGCAGGUCGAGUCGAACUAAUUGGGAUAAUAUCUGAACCCAAACCACACGCACCUCCUACAUCUAAGAAUCGGGCUUCCAUCCUAGUAGUCCAACGUCUAUCAUGUAUCUCUUCUCUUCCACAAUUCAGCUCAACGCAAGUUUCCUUCGCGUUGGUAGUGACUCGUAUCCACGUCACUCUUCCCUCCCAUGUCCAAAGAAUGGAACAAAUUUUUCUCAUCCAUGUUGGAUCCCAGCCACACCCAUUCACAUUUCCCAGCCAUUUACACAUCAUCCCACACGGCCGUCCACAUCCAAGGAACAAAGCCAGCAUCCAAGCCAAUCCCUUCCGCAUCCAAAGCAUCUCCCAAGGAUUCUUCGACUUCAUCCUCCCAGCAUCCUUAUCUUCUCUCGUGUCCGUUUCUCCCAAACAACUGGAUUUUCUUCAGCCGAAUUCCCAUCUAUUGUCCUCCUCCCCUUCGUCCACAUCAAAAGGAAUCCCUCAACCAGCUGAGAUCCUCCCAGUUUGCAUCCUUAUCUCUUGCUUCGGAUAAGUCCCAAACUUCAUCCUCAUCCCCUGUGUCCAGCUAACAGAGCACUCCUCGUUUCUUCCUCCCGUUCGGAAUUGACUCCAUCCACGGAUGAGUUCACCUCCCCUGUUCCGCUUAUCCCUUCCCUUCCGGAUGAGAACCAGCAACCAUACAACAUAUGGAUUAGCUCCAUCUCCCAAACAUCCGUAGCUAAUCCCGUUCGCAAAUCAAGCUCCUUCAUUCUGUUUUCCUCCCAGCAUCUGCAACAAUCCGGUCUUCAUCUCAGCCGUGAACAGCAUCCCAGCAAAUUUAGGAAUAUCCGAGCUGCCGAAUCCCAUGGAUCAUCUCCCCUGUUCCCAACCGAAUCGAGUUCAUCUCAUCUCCCAGCUUCAUCUCUUCCGAAUUCCUUUGCGUCCGUCCCGGCUACAUCCAUUCGCAUCAGCCGGUAACCGCUCCAAAUCCCAGCUCUGCUUCAACCGUCCGCGCUUCACAGGCCCCAACAGCCGUGGAUCAACUUCCGUGGAUCAGCACCCCAUCUCCUCCCGUCGACUCAACUCUAUCCCAUGAACAGCAUCUGGAUAAGCUUCCAGCUCCCCUGUUACGCAUAGAAUCCAUCAACAAAUCCUAGCGUCCAUAAUCUUCCCAGCUUGCAUCUCAAUAGUCCCCGCGAUCAGCUCUCGAAUGCAUUCCGUGGUUCAACUUCAUCCGUCCAGCCAUCGGGACCAAAGCCAGCUCUUCUCAACCGUGGAACCAUCUUCCAUCAUCUGCGGAGGAGAUCAAGCCUCCACAGCCUUAUCUUCCCAUCCAUUUGAAAAAAACAGAGGAGGAGAGAGGGAGAGCUUGCUGCUUAUAAAAAGGGGAGUCGACGUGAUUGAGGGGCAUUCCUUCUCUUCCCCCACCGGGCUGAUCCCAUCAUCUAUUCGGAGGGAGGAAGCCGGCUCAUCCCAUCUGUUUGGAAGGGGGGAAUACCACAGAAAUAAAAAAAAGCAGAGGAGGGAGAAUAGUUUGGGCAUUUCGGGAAUAACUUUCCAUAUAAAAAAAUGAAGUGCUGAGAGGGAGUUUCUUCGAUGGAGUCGCCGGAGGAAGAAAGAAAGAAGAGCUGGUCGCGAUGGAAGCCUUCUCCACUGCUGCAGCUGUUCAAUUCUCCAUGCAGGGCUGAUCUCUCCUCUAGGGCCGGAUGCAGCCCUAACAAAGGGACACGGGUUUUAUGUAUUUAAUUUUAUAUUCUUGGAGUUGUAUGAACUUAUUGUUUUUAAUGAAUAUCUUCUUUUA